rnacentral:lncRNA from 1 species
CCAUAUAUUCCUUCAGUAAAGCUUCCAUAGGUGAUGAUGAUAAUGAUGCUGAGGCCUGACCAUGUUGUACAUUUUGCCUCACCAUAGGAUGAUUAUAACUAGGUGGUGCACUGUUGGCAUUCUAUCUUGCAACAUUGUUAAAAUUCCCCUCACCUUGAUUACUCCAACUGAAAUUUGAAUGCUGCUUCCACCCUGAAUUGUAGGUGUUGGAAUAAGGGUUAUUAUUUCGGUUAAAAUUACCC